CUUCCACUCACAGCCUUUUGAAGUAGCUCUGUGGACUUACACCAGAGAGAUGAAAAGCUGAAAUCCAGCUGCCGUUCAUUCCUGCUUUGAGAUUAGGAAAGGUAGAGCUGAAUUUCGGCUAUGAUACUCGGAAGCUUUUCCCCAGCUGAUGGAGGCCUGCCCUGGAGGUGCUCAGCUCCAUCUCUGCUGUCCAGGCUGUGAGCAAGAACACCUAAGAAAAGCCAGCAGCCUCCUUCACUCUCCCUCCCCAUCCAUUCAGGUACAGGCCACAAGUCUGCAGCAUCUCACUACAAAAUUAGCACAGAGACAGUGAUCACACCACGAUGAAAAAAAAAUAGAUUAAAAAGAGAGGAAAAAAAUCAGCUGCUAGAACAAAAGCCAAACAGAAAUGUGUUCCUUAAAUUAUUAGUAGUGUAUUAGAGGCGAUUUAGCACUCACAUGGCCAUUCCUACAACUGCAGAGACCCUGCAACAUAUCUUAUUCCCUUUGUAAUGCGGAUGGCACUGAGAUUGCUCUCAUCUUCUGGGCUUAUAAGCAAAUAUAUUUAAUUUGGAUGUAAUACAGCCAGGAGGGUGAUUUCUCCAGAUGGCGAUUUAAGCAACAGAUCAAGAGAUGAAUUAAGCACCUCAUUCCUUCAGAUUUUAGGAGAUCCCUGCAGGUGCCAGGGAUCCUGCCUCCAGCUUAGGUCCAGGGGAAAUUUCGGCCAAGAUGAAGCCUCUCAUUGGCUGCGUGAAUUCCAGCCUCCUUCAUUAACAUGAAGAGUGCCGUUCUCCCCGCUGUCUUAGGAGUUACAGAACAUUUAAAAGAUGAUUUGCAGACAGAUUAAGGACUUCAGAAGGAGAGAUGACACCAGACCUGGGUCUUGCAGAUGCAAACUGCUGUCAAGUGUGAGAGGAGGGGAGUAUUAUUCACCAGUGGCAGAUAUGCUGGGCAUCCGGGCAGAAUGAUAAGAGCUGCGGCCCUGCAGCCAGUCCCUGCAUUUGCACCCUGAGUUUGCCAUGAGCUGUGUGACCUUAGUCAAGUUUCUCAACCUUUCUGUGCCUCAGCUUCCUUCUCUGAAAAAUGGGGAUCAUGUUUUGCACACAGCCCAACACACAGCAAAUAUUCAGUGACUGCUGCUGCUUUCUGCCAUGGCUAAAGGUGGUGUUGUGGUUUUCCUUCCAGGUUUUUAUGCUUUAAUUUCCUAACUGUUCCUGCAUUACUUAACAGUUGAUGACGUGUGGGGCCAAGCUCUUGGCACACGUGAGCACGGUUGAUAUUCAAGGAGUGUUAACUCGGGUCCAUUUUUCUUUCCAUCGAACACAGCCUCCUGGUAAAAGAGCCAUUCAGGAUGCCUGGAGGAGCCCAGAUUUCAAAUCUGAUGAAGGCUGCAGUUCUAUAAAUUCCCUCCCUCUUUUGUGCUGAUGGCAACGACUUUUAUAUGUAUUUUCAUGUCUUUCUCUCCAGAGAUAAAUUUUGUGGCCUGCCACUGAAUCUGCUUCCUAAAAUGUAGCUUGGAGAUUUUAUUUGAGAUAAACUAUCAUGUGAAUAAAUAUAGAUACUAUAUUUUAAUCUGGGA